CUCCUUUUUCCUUUUUCUUCUUUCUUUUUUCAUUUUCAUUUUGACCUUGAUUUUGAUUUUUCUUUUUUUGUUGUUUUUGUUUUUGAGUUUAUAGGGUUAGGCAAGUCCUCGUUAUCCCUUUCGAAGAAUCUUCUUUGAUAUCGGAUUUCCUUAAUAGAGCCUUUUGGGGCGAAACUACAACUGAAGACUUUUGAUCUUCCUCUUCCAUCAAGAUAAAAUCCAACAACAUCUUGAAGGAUAGAAACUCAACUUCAAAUGGG
rnacentral:lncRNA from 1 species